GACGAGGAGAGCUCGGUCUGGUAGAGCGAUAAACUGUGACUUUAUAGGUCAUGGGUUCGAGUCCCAUUCCUCGUC
rnacentral:tRNA from 1 species